rnacentral:misc_RNA from 1 species
GAAAUGCGAUAAGUAAUGUGAAUUGCAGAAUUCAGUGAAUCAUCGAAUCUUUGAACGCACAUUGCGCCCGCCAGCAUUCUGGCGGGCAUGCCUGUUCGAGCGUCAUUUCAACCCUCGAGCUCCCUUUGGGGAGCCCGGCGUUGGGGACCGGCAGCUUACCGCCGGCCCCGAAAUGGAGUGGCGGCCCGUCCGCGGCGACCUCUGCGUAGUAACUUACACCUCGCACCGGAACCCCGACGUGGCCACGCCGUAAAACACCCAACUUUUGAACGUUGACCUCGGAUCAGGUAGGAAUACCCGCUGAACUUAA